AUUAUUGUAGGAUAAAGCGCACAAAAUACGGUAGGUGGCGGUACUGCGCCAUUAAGAAGAAGAAGAAGAAGUAGUAGAAGAAGAGAAAGCAGCGGCAAAACAGCAUACAUGGUCCUCGCUCUACUCACUACCUAUCGAACGGCGUGCAGAAGCUAUUGAGGACGUCAGAGUUGUGCAGGUGAACACACACACACACACACACAGUUGAAAGGUGUGUUAACUCUUCGGGGCCGUGAGCAUCGCCUGCGAGUUUCAGCAUGGUCAGGUUCACUAAUGUUCUCUUUCUCUCUUUACAGCAUGAAGGGAUUUGAUCUUACACACACACACACACACAACUGAAACACUGAGAGAACCUGUAGAGUCUCGGCUUUCAGACGAUCUCACACGAUCUCACACGAUCUCACACGUGGAGAACAUGAACAUUUUAUAUAAUCUCUAAACUGUAGAGAAGUUGCAGUUUGUUCCUGUGGUGAAAAGUGAAAGUAAUGUGAAACGUGGUCUCCUCCUCCUGUUCACAUAUUAAUGACAUGUUAAUGUCUUUCAGGAGCAGGAGAGAAGUGACGAGUGUGUGUUGGGUGUAAAUCAGGACAGGUACACGCUGAUGGAACACUCAGGUAGACUUUUGCACAGGAACCUUCUUGUGUGUUACAGUAAUUCUAGUAAAUUGUGUACUGACUUAUGAUUGUGCACUAAAUCCCUACAAUACUACAUGUUCCUUUUAUUCUGAUCAUGUUAAUGUGCUGAAAUAAGUGAAUGUGUGUGUGAGAGAGUGUCCUACAAUAAAGUGAUCAAAUGUG